GGCCUUUUUUCGCACGCAUUUGAGUGUUUAAAACGGAGAUUGUGAUUCAGAUAAAAAAAUGUACAAUUCUAUUACAACCUCAAGAACUAACUGUCAAGCUCAUGUGCUGGGAGGUCAAUAUUGGUAUUGGAUUUAAGAAAGGCACUGUCGAUGAGGCGAUUUUGGGAAUGGACUUGAUAGGAAAGUUCGGGUUUACGAUCGACCUAAAGAAUGAUAUGCUUCGAGUGAACCACUUCCUAUUCACAGAGAAGAAGACGGGCUGCUACGUGUUACGCUUGUGGAUGAUAUCACUCAGCCGGAGUGCUGCGAGAACGUUGUGAUAGUUCGCAUGGAUGGAAGUCUCCGGAAAACUGCUUGGGAGUGACGGAACCAAUUAUACCAAUAUGUGUCGAACAAUUUUGAUUAGCAAGGUGCUAGUAAAUCCUAACCGCUAACACCUGUUCGGCUGAAGAACUGGAACUCAUUCUCUCAACAAGCCAAAAGGAUCAAGCUAAAAGGUUUAUUUGCCGCUAUCAAACAACAUUAAAAAAGACUACCAUGGGUUAAACGCGAAGAAGCUGAGGAGAUGAUUAGCGACAUAAAGAUAAUUAUCCGUUGCUUCGAAUAAAUGACACGCUAGAUUCUCUAACGGGUGCUAAAUGGUUUUCCACCCUAGAUAUGAAAAGCAGCUACUGACAAGUUGGUCUAGCUGGAUCCUGAACGCCGCGAGAAAACAGCCUUUAGCAUAGGGCCAGGUUUAUAAUAAUAAUAAUAAUAAUAUAGGUAUUUUAUUUCCCAUCUAACAGCAGAGCCUAAUUACAGAUGAGAAAGUGAAUAAAUGUAAAUAUAAAUAAUGUAAAUAAAUCUAGUAUACAAGUAUCACAGAAAACAGAUAGAGAUAUCGCGCACGUUGCAGUUGAAGAUAUCAACAUGUCGAUUAACCGAUUCAAGACAGGCACACAUACGCGAUAUCAGUGACGUACACAAGGAUUGUUUAUAAACAAACAGGUUGUUCCUCCUGAGAUGUUUUUGAGGCACAUGAAAACCAAUGCGCGCCAAGAGUGCAGGCGAGUCAAUUUUGUUAAUGAUCAAGUUGUAAAUAAACCUGGCUUGAUGAAAUUCCCUACGACGUUCAAGAGCUCCAAUAUCACCCUCGAGAAGCAGAGAGCCAUAAUCUACACCUCUCUCUGGGAAUGCACCGUGGCGUAAAUAUAGUGAUGUAAAUUGGCGACCAAACCACAGAAGCAUACUCAAGUUUAGUGCGUACGAGUGUAUUAUAUAGUGUCUUCAGAGUAUCUUCAGAUUUCAGCUCUCUUGAAUUCCUAAAAAUAAAGCCUAAGAGCUUUAACGCCUCAGAACAAAUGGUGGUAAUGUGGGUAUUAAAGUUCAGUUUAGAAUCAAACGUUAAGCCAAGGUCCUUAAUCAUCACACAACGUUUAAGCGAACAAUUAUUUAUAACAUAAUUAUGCAAUUGCGUAACCUGCUUACGAGAGAACGACAUCACACUACACUUAUCAACUAUGGCAACUUCCGGUCAUGCCCUUUGGAUUGUGUAACGCCCUCGCGACGUUUCAGUUUUUAAUGGAGCUGGUUUUGAGAGGUGUAAAUUGGAAAACUUAUUUUGUGUAUAUUUGGAUGACGUAAUUGUGAUUGAUCGAACGUUCGAAGAACACCUUAAGAAUCUCUAAAAUGUGUUUCAGAGGUUGAGCGGUGAUAACCUUCAACUGAAUGCAAAGAAGUGCAACCUUUUCCAAAAAGAAAUUAAGUAUCUUGGUCAUCUACUUAGUUUCGAAAAAUAGAGUGACAGUGAAUACCGACAAAAUUCGUGCAGUACAAUAAUGACCCCAGUCAAAAGAUAAACCCGAAAUACGGAGUUUCUUGGGCCUGUGUACGUACUACCGGCGAUUUGUUGGUGGAUUUGCCGAUAUUGCAAUGCCGUUGACCAAGUUAACAAAGGCCACAGAGAUUUCAAAUGUACUGUCCCAAAUGCAAGCUAGGCACGAGAGCGUAAUCGGAUAUUUCAUUAAAGCCUUCUCUAAACCGGAACGUAAUUACUGUGUCAUCACCAGGAGAACUGCUAGCUGUCAGCUAGUCGAUUGAACAUUUCGAUAUGUAUCUAUAUGGAUAGGAGUUCCUCGUACGUACCGACCAUGCCAGAAGGUCAAGUUGCUAGAUGGUUGAAAAGAUUGAUAUCGUAGGCCCCUUCUAAGAGACAGCUGCCGGAAACAGUUGGUGGUCAUGGACUAUUUCAGUAAAUGGAUAGAAGCAUAUGCUGUGCCAAAUCAAGAAGCGACAACUGCGGUAGACGUUCUGAUAAAGGAAAAUACUAGAAAAAAAUGUUUUUUGCUAUAUAACCAAAUCGAAUUGUGUUUUGAGUUUAGUUCCAACUUCGAUGAGCUUGUGUUAUGCAAUAAUUUGUGAGAAAAUAAUAAUUAUUGUUAUAAAUUAAUCAAUUUUAUUAUUUUAAGACUGUUAUAAAUUUAUUGUUAGUCAAUUAUAAAUAAAUAACCACGUAAUUAAAUGUACGUUGCUAUAAUAAGACUGUAAUGCAAAUGUUAUAUAGCAUACAGACACACGUGUUAAGUAGGAACGUUACUAUUACAAGGUUUAUUAAAGGAU